rnacentral:rRNA from 1 species
GACGAACGCUGGCGGCGUGCUUAACACAUGCAAGUCGAACGGAAAGGCCCCUUUGGGGGUACUCGAGUGGCGAACGGGUGAGUAACACGUGAGUAACCUGCCCUUGACUUCGGGAUAACUUCAGGAAACUGGGGCUAAUACCGGAUAGGAAUCCUUGCUGCAUGGUGGGGGUGGGAAAGCUUCGGCGGGUUUGGAUGGACUCGCGGCUUAUCAGCUUGUUGGUGGGGUAGUGGCUUACCAAGGCUUUGACGGGUAGCCGGCCUGGGAGGGCGACCGGCCACCUUGGGACUGAGAUACGGCCCAGACUCCUACGGGAGGCAGCAGUGGGGAAUAUUGCACAAUGGGCGGAAGCCUGAUGCAGCAACGCCGCGUGCGGGAUGACGGCCUUCGGGUUGUAAACCGCUUUCAGCAGGGGCGAAGCUUGUGGUGACGGUACCUGCAGAAGAAGCACCGGCUAACUACGUG